GGGGUCGUAUUGGUUUUGACAGCAUAGGCCGCGGUUGGUGUAAGCAUGCAGUGCGUUGUGUAAUUAGCACUUAAAUCUGAAUGCUCAAACUUCAAAUGGCAAUACACAGUAUGCCAUGGCUGCUUAAUCAGUGAUUGAGUAACCAUUCGGGCCGCCGCACAGGUUAGCUUUUUUCCAGGUGCCGCCGCCGACUCAAAACAAAAGAAGAUGCUGCAACAGUAGGCUGUGCCUGUUGCUUAAGACCAUCCAGCUAAGUGUUCCGUUGGUCUGUUCAUGUCCUGCGAAACGCCGACAACCAAUCAUGAAAUAAGCAUGUAGAAAGCUAAUGGCAGCGAUGUUUGGACAGGGGUUCGACUCCCCUCGACUCCACAG
rnacentral:tmRNA from 1 species